rnacentral:RNase_P_RNA from 14 species
GAGGAAAGUCCCGCCUCCUGGCCUAAAGGAGUCUCUAUAGAGACAAGGGCAACACCCUUGGCAACUAUACAGAAACAAGUACCUUGAAAGCUACAUGUGAAAAUGAUUGUGCCCCUUCCUCUGGUAACGGAGGAAGAAACAUGAGAGUAGCUUUCAAGGAUGAAAAGAUAGACCUCCUAGGAGCAAGUAGAGGGAAAGAUGAGACUAGGCCCGAUUUCCCUCUAGGACGCAUAGCCAAAUCCCCCAACCAUUACAAAAGCGGGCUUA